AAAAUGGCCGAUGGUUUCUCUAGAUAAGACUCUUAUUCCUCGUCUGGGAUCAUGUAGAGCUCUUUGAAGCUGCACUGAAACUGACAUUUGGACCUUCAACCCGUUGAACCCCAGUGAAGUCCACUAUAUGGAGAAAAAUCCUGGAAUGUUUUCCUCAAAAACCUUCAUUUCUUUUCCACUGAAGAAAGAAAGACAUGAACAUCUUGGAUGGCAUGGGGAAACAGACACACAGGCAGAAAGACGGACAGUCUCUGAAGACUAAUUCUGGUGUCGUCAGUCACUGACAGCAACAGAUGACAGACAGACAGGUUUACCGUAGUCAACCGGAUCCGGGCCGUAUCCAGGUAAGAUCGAGGACCUGCGCCUUGACACGACCACAACGCACCCCUGAAGUGUCAGCAGAGGCCUCAUCGACAGCCAGUGGCACAGAUUCUCAACAAACCGUCCAUACCGGCGUGAUCCUCAAUACAAUCCUCAAUUGGAUGGAACUGGAAUAAAUACUUUGACUGUUGCAAUCCCAUCGGACUUAUGAUAGCUACCUGAAUCAUAAUCAAGCAUUGUUUGCUGUUGGCCAGAGGAGAACUGGCCCCCCGACUAAGUCUGGUUUCUCUCAAGGUUUUUUUUUUCUCCAUUUUAACACCUGUUUGCCACCUGAUGUCACCUGCUGGAGUUUGGGUUCCUUGCCGCCUUUGGCUUGCUUAGUUGGGGACACUUGACACUUGAUAUUCAACAGUGUUUUGAUCUCCUGCAUUGACACCACUGUAUGAGAACUGAACUGAGCUGGAUGAUGACAUCACUGUUUACUCCAGUGCUGAUAUAGAUAAAUUAACUAAAUUAAUAACUAUUGAUUCUUACAUUGGAAUGAAUCAAUACUGAAUUUACUUAAGCUGGACAAUGACGGCAUUUUCUUUAAGAGCUGUGCAGCCAAAAUUAUAUACUAGUUAUCACUGUAAAGCUGCUUUGACACAAUCUGCAUUGUUAAAAGCACUGUAUAAAUAAAGGUGACUUGACUCUCUGUUUAUCCUGAAGUUAUUGUAGUCAGCUGGAUCUGGGCCAUAUCCAGAUCAGAUGAAGAACCUGCGCCUACUUUAAUUUGAAGUUAAUUACAUUUUUUAUUUAAUUACACUCUAGAAUAGAAUAGAAUAGAAUAGAAUAAAAUAGAAAAGGUGGGACAGUGAUUUUAAUGGCCCAUAAUGCACUGAGAGAAUACUUCUGUCUAUUCUGCUGCGGCAGGAAAUUAUUUCAUGACUAUCAAAAUUCAAUAUUAAAAUUCAACAAAGACGGAAUGAGUGCACUGAGAUGAUGUCAGAAGAUCACAGACUUGAGGGGAAUCUUCACACCAGACAGGAAGAAAACACCUAGAAACCACCCAGAAUACCCUACCAAACACAUAGCAACACCCUAGCAACCAUCCUCAAUGCCCUGGCGUCACUUUUCUUCAGAACAGGUAAAGGUGGAGUAUGUCAGCAUCACCAUGGUGACGAGCAGGUGCAGUUCAGCGUCUCACUAAUGAGAUCAUUGAUCAGGUGAUCAGUGAGUGACCUGCGGACUGAAGCAGCUGGACUGGAGGCGACGGAGACACUUAACAGAUGAAAUAAAGAGACACCAGGAGACGCUCAGUAAAGAUCCGUCAGGACGAGACUCUGAUCUCCAGUGACAGAGCGUUUAAGAGGAAGAGGGAAACGCUUCUGGAGGGACGCUGUCUGUCAAUUCAUGUCACUUCAGGUCACGUGCUUCGCCUUGAGCAGACACACAUUACUGACACACACACACACACACACACACACACACAGAAGAGCUUCAGAAAAACAUAUUUAAAUACAUCAGGACUGAUUUUAAGCAAUAUGACAAGCAUUUAAAGCAAAUAUUGCUUCAAAGGGACAGUUCAUCCAAAAAUGAUCAUUCUGUCAUUUAUUGUCCUCAUAUAACACAAACCUG